AUCACUUCUCAGCCUUUUGACUAAGAUCAAGUGUAGUAUCUGUUUUUAUCAGUUUAAUAUCUGAUAUGUCUUAUAUCUGAGGACAAUAUAUUAAAUGGAUUUUGGAGCUUGGAGUUGGAAUAGGAGCUUGCUCCAUCCACUCCACGCAUUGACCUGGUAUUUCAGUAUUUCCAGGAAUGGUGCACUCCCU
rnacentral:snRNA from 1 species